UAUAUUUGCAAAAAAUUGUGUGGGAUUCCUUAAUUUUCAAUAUUUUUGAUAUUUUAAAAAUUUUUUUAUAUUUAUAAGUUUGAAAAAAAAUUUUGUACUUCUUGGACAUUCGAAACUUUUCUUCGUACUACAUAUAUACACUAUGUAUAAGUAUUUUAAAAGACUUUUUAUGAUCACAGAAAUAUUGUUUGCAAUUAUUCGAAAAGUAUAUUUUGUGGCUUACAUGAUUUACUUGAUAGAACAAAACUCAAACAUACAACUUACAAAUAUUCUCUUAUACUGUUAUUUAUUGCUGAGAGAUUGUACUCUAAAUCGUGUACGUAAUUGUCAUAUACUACUAAAGUGAAGCACAAUCAAUUCCGUUAUAUGUAAUGAAAUGUUAAAACAAAAUUUACACAAAAUUUAAAAAAUUUAUCGAGGAAACUAAUUUACAGUUUAAAAUUGUUAAAAAAAUAUUUUAGAAAGCGUUCUGUGCACCAAUUUUUCAAUUAUGUAAGCAAUUCAUUUUACAUUUUACUGGUCACAGGUUUCAAUUGUGACAUUUUCAGUGAAUGUUACUGAAUUAAUCUUUAGAAAUUGCACUAUGAGCCUCAUGCACCAGCAAAUUCGGGUUCCGAAUAUUCCAGCUACAAGGAUAGAUUUAGUAUGAAUUUAAUGUCAAUCAGUGAUGCACACUACCGAUUUAUAACGAUAGACAUUGGUGCUCCCGGAAGAAGGAGUGAUGGAGUUUUUUCUGAAAGUGCAAUGUACAAAAAAUUUGAAACAAACACAUUCGAUGUACCUAAGACGGAAGGGAUAAGCGCAAAUACUGCUGCUCUACCUUAUGUAGCGUGGAGAUGAAGCAUUUCCAUUGACAACAUAUUUAAUGCGACCUUAUCCUAGAAGUAAAAAUUUAAAUAUACAAAGGAAAGUAUUUAAUUAUCGGUUAAGUCGAGCAAGACGAAUGGUUAAAAGUGCCUUCGGAAUACUGGCGGCUAGAUGGAGAAUUUAUAGAAGGGACUAAGAAACAUGCCAAGACAAAAUUCAUUGGCUGCAAAUAAUCUUAAUGCCGACGUAGUGCGAGAUGAUUUUUCCAAUUACUUUGUAUCGCCUGAAGGAGAAUUGCCAUGGCAGUAUGAGAAAGUAUUGCAAAAUAACUUUUGAAAUUUAGUUGUUUCAUAGUAACACAGAACAGAAGAGAAGAUAAGAGAAGACAAACACAGAUGUAUUUAUCAUAAAUAAAACUUUAUUUUUCUAUUUGAAUCACAUUCAGCUUGAAAACUUAAAUCAAGUUUUUGGUUUUUUCACAAAUGUUUCAAUAUUAUUGUUAAUAAUUUAACU